CUGGUUUUGAAUUGUAUGUACAGGACCAUUUAAAUAUGGAUUGUGGAUUGGUACGAGGAGAAGUUCUGCUGAUGAAAGCGGUUAUUGCUGAAACGGUUCAUGGUUUAUGUCAAAUGGAACUAUGGAGAAUGGUUCUAAAAGAUAUGGAUUACUUGAUCAUAAAGCUAGUUAACAUUGUGGUGAAACUGAAGCGGAGCUAAUUUAUGGAGUCAGCUGUUGUUUUCUUUUUGUAUAGUUGAAUUUCGCAAUGGACUUGAAAUUUGUAAUGGAUUUGGAAUUUCGUAACGGAACUGAAUGUGUACACUUUGUUUAUAACUUAGAAUUAUAGUGAAAUGCUCC